AUUGAACGCUGGCGGCAGGCCUAACACAUGCAAGUCGAGCGGAUGAAGGGAGCUUGCUCCUGGAUUCAGCGGCGGACGGGUGAGUAAUGCCUAGGAAUCUGCCUGGUAGUGGGGGAUAACGUCCGGAAACGGGCGCUAAUACCGCAUCCGUCCUGAGGGAGAACGAGGGGGAUCUUCGGACCUCACGCUAUCAGAUUAACCUAGGUCGGAUUAGCUAGUUGGUGGGGUAAAGGCCUACCAAGGCGACGAUCCGUAACUGGUCUGAGAGGAUGAUCAGUCACACUGGAACUGAGACACGGUCCAGACUCCUACGGGAGGCCGCAGUGGGGAAUAUUGGGCAAUGGGCGAAAGCCUGAUCCAGCCAUGCCGCGUGUGUGAAGAAGGUCUUCGGAUUGUAAAGCACUUUAAGUUGGGAGGAAGGGCAGUAAGUUAAUACCUGGCUGUUUUGACGUUACCGACAGAAUAAGCACCGGCUAACUUCGUG
rnacentral:rRNA from 1 species